rnacentral:rRNA from 1 species
CAAAAAGGAGAGAAGGGCACAUGAAGGAUGCCUAGGCUCUCGGAGGCGAUGAAGGACGUGACAAGCUGCGAUAAGCCGCGGUAGGAGGCAAAUACUCAUAAAGCCGCGGAUUUCCGAAUGGGGCAACCCGGCACGAGCGAUCGUGUCACCGGUGCAAAGCACCGGGGCGAACCCGGGGAACUGAAACAUCUCAAUACCCGGAGGAAAAGAAAACAAAAGUGAUUGCGCAAGUAGUGGCGAGCGAACGCGCAUUAGCCCAAACCGGGUGUGUGGCGACGCACAUCCCGGGGUUGUAGGACCGUCGAUAAAGUAACGUGUCAAAGUCAGCCGAACGCUCUGGAAAGUGCGGCCGCAGCGGGUGAAAGCCCCUUAGGCGAAGACGGAGGCAUAUGCGAGACGGCACCUGAGUAGCGCGGGACACGAGAAAUCCUGUGUGAAUCAGCGGGGACCAUCCCGUAAGGCUAAAUACUACCGAGAGACCGAUAGCGAACCAGUACCGUGAGGGAAAGGUGAAAAGAACCUCGAACAGAGGAGUGAAAAAGACCCUGAAAUCAUGUGCCUACAAGCGGUCGGAGCCACUUAGUGUGGUGACGGCGUGCCUUUUGCAUAAUGAACCUACGAGUCACCCGCGUCGGCGAGGCUAAGUGCCAUCAGGCACGGAGCCGAAGCGAAAGCGAGUUGGAAGACAGCGCCGAGUCGGCGCGGGUGGACGCGAAACCAAGUGAUCUACCCUUGGGCAGGUUGAAGGACAGGUAACACUGUCUGGAGGACCGAACCGGUAA